GCGAACCCAGAGCAAGACAAUAGGGCACAGUUACCCUGCCGCGGUGGGCAAGACGAAGAACGCUCCACGUUCUCAGGCUGCACUCCCAGGGUGAAAAACGGACUGUUUGUGACUCAGAAGUACCUGGUUCCAAGGCACUGCAGGUAAAUUGCUUGAGACACCAGAGGAUAUUUUAAGGGGUGCUGCUGCAGGAUGUCCUUCACUCUUCCCUAAACUUCUCAACUGUCCUCUAGAGAAAGGUACAAGUAUUUUUAAAUAUUAGUUUAAAGGCACACAACUAGUUACUCUACCGAGAGCAUCCAAAUGUUUCAGUUAACCUUUUAGUUAUUCUCAACGCUUUUUCUGUCCUAACAUGCUGGAGGGUUGUGACAACCUGCAUCAGCAUCAAUCACUCUAGACGGCAGCAAUUCCCAGGGGACCAGGGUGGGGAGCAUAGGCUUAGGGGGAAAUGAAUCAGGCGCUACCGAGGGGUGUGGUUAGAAAGAGUCUCCUGGAGUUCAGAAUCACUAGUCAUGGCAUUACAGCCUUAUUAAUUAGCCACAAAGGAUGUAGCGUAAGUUGUGAAGCAUUAAUCGGUAAAAUGCAAACAUACAACACAAUGCAUAAACAAAUAAUUCAAAAUAAUUAGCAUUUAUUCCCUGUGUAGCUGCCACAGCAAAUAAGGAAGUUCAAAAUAUCUUGCUUCAUCUGCGAUUGUUUUUUCCUUUUAAUUGCAUCUCCCACCUGCUGUUAAUUUGAAAUGAAUUAAACCCUAAAGAUAGCAUCCAAAAGUAAGAAGACUAAGCAGGUUUCACCUUUGGGCAAAAAUUACAUAACAGCUUCACCCAUCUUCAAAAAGGGUGAAAGAUUCUUUUCCAGAAGCGAUAGGGUAUUUUCUGUUGCAAUAGCAUGCCCCAAUCAGUGAGAGGCUGAUCUAAGGAUGUGACAGCCAACUCCCUCUAGUGUGCUACGUAUAAGCUCUAUGAACUUCUUGUCUCCUUGGAGUUCUACACCGUGCUGUCCAAUAGAAAUAUAAGGCAAACCACAGAUUUUAAAUUUUCAAUUUUCUAGUAGCUACAUAAAAAGAUAAAAAGAAUUAGGUAAAAUUAUUUUGAUAAAAGAUUUUAUUUAACUCAGUAUAUUCAAAAUGUUACCAUU